UCCCUUGUGGCUCAGUUGGUAAAGAAUCCACCUGCCAUGUGGGAGACCUGGGUUCAAUCCCUGGUUUGGGAA
rnacentral:tRNA from 1 species